rnacentral:hammerhead_ribozyme from 1 species
AUCCAGCCGACGAGUCCCAAAUAGGACGAAAUGUACUUUGUCCUGGAU